AAAACACCAGUUCCCGUACGAUCAGCGAAGUUAAGCAACGUCGAGCCUAGUCAUUACCUAGAUGAGUGACUGCUUGGGAAUACCAGAUGCUGUAAG